UACAGAGGUCUCAAGCGUUGUUCGGAUUCAUUGGGCGUAAAGGGUGUGUAGGUGGCGCGCUAAGUCGGGUGUGAAAUUUCGGAGCUUAACUCCGAAACUGCAUUCGAUACUGGCGUGCUUGAGGACUGGAGAGGAGACUGGAAUUCAUGUUGUAGCAGUGAAAUGCGUAGAGAUCAUGAGGAACACCGGUGGCGAAGGCGGUUCUCUGGGCCUUACCUGACGCUGAGGAGCGAAAGCGUGGGGAGCAAACAGG
rnacentral:rRNA from 1 species